AGCGUACACGGUGGAUGCCCUGGCAGUCAGAGGCGAUGAAGGACGUGCUAAUCUGCGAUAAGCGUCGGUAAGGUGAUAUGAACCGUUAUAACCGGCGAUUUCCGAAUGGGGAAACCCAGUGUGUUUCGACACACUAUCAUUAACUGAAUCCAUAGGUUAAUGAGGCGAACCGGGGGAACUGAAACAUCUAAGUACCCCGAGGAAAAGAAAUCAACCGAGAUUCCCCCAGUAGCGGCGAGCGAACGGGGAGGAGCCCAGAGCCUGAAUCAGUGUGUGUGUUAGUGGAAGCGUCUGGAAAGGCGCGCGAUACAGGGUGACAGCCCCGUACACAAAAAUGCACAUACUGUGAGCUCGAUGAGUAGGGCGGGACACGUGGUAUCCUGUCUGAAUAUGGGGGGACCAUCCUCCAAGGCUAAAUACUCCUGACUGACCGAUAGUGAACCAGUACCGUGAGGGAAAGGCGAAAAGAACCCCGGCGAGGGGAGUGAAAAAGAACCUGAAACCGUGUACGUACAAGCAGUGGGAGCACGCUUCGGCGUGUGACUGCGUACCUUUUGUAUAAUGGGUCAGCGACUUAUAUUCUGUAGCAAGGUUAACCGAAUAGGGGAGCCGAAGGGAAACCGAGUCUUAACUGGGCGUUAAGUUGCAGGGUAUAGACCCGAAACCCGGUGAUCUAGCCAUGGGCAGGUUGAAGGUUGGGUAACACUAACUGGAGGACCGAACCGACUAAUGUUGAAAAAUUAGCGGAUGACUUGUGGCUGGGGGUGAAAGGCCAAUCAAACCGGGAGAUAGCUGGUUCUCCCCGAAAGCUAUUUAGGUAGCGCCUCGUGAAUUCAUCUCCGGGGGUAGAGCACUGUUUCGGCAAGGGGGUCAUCCCGACUUACCAACCCGAUGCAAACUGCGAAUACCGGAGAAUGUUAUCACGGGAGACACACGGCGGGUGCUAACGUCCGUCGUGAAGAGGGAAACAACCCAGACCGCCAGCUAAGGUCCCAAAGUCAUGGUUAAGUGGGAAACGAUGUGGGAAGGCCCAGACAGCCAGGAUGUUGGCUUAGAAGCAGCCAUCAUUUAAAGAAAGCGUAAUAGCUCACUGGUCGAGUCGGCCUGCGCGGAAGAUGUAACGGGGCUAAACCAUGCACCGAAGCUGCGGCAGCGACACUAUGUGUUGUUGGGUAGGGGAGCGUUCUGUAAGCCUGUGAAGGUGUGCUGUGAGGCAUGCUGGAGGUAUCAGAAGUGCGAAUGCUGACAUAAGUAACGAUAAAGCGGGUGAAAAGCCCGCUCGCCGGAAGACCAAGGGUUCCUGUCCAACGUUAAUCGGGGCAGGGUGAGUCGACCCCUAAGGCGAGGCCGAAAGGCGUAGUCGAUGGGAAACAGGUUAAUAUUCCUGUACUUGGUGUUACUGCGAAGGGGGGACGGAGAAGGCUAUGUUGGCCGGGCGACGGUUGUCCCGGUUUAAGCGUGUAGGCUGGUUUUCCAGGCAAAUCCGGAAAAUCAAGGCUGAGGCGUGAUGACGAGGCACUACGGUGCUGAAGCAACAAAUGCCCUGCUUCCAGGAAAAGCCUCUAAGCAUCAGGUAACAUCAAAUCGUACCCCAAACCGACACAGGUGGUCAGGUAGAGAAUACCAAGGCGCUUGAGAGAACUCGGGUGAAGGAACUAGGCAAAAUGGUGCCGUAACUUCGGGAGAAGGCACGCUGAUAUGUAGGUGAAGUCCCUUGCGGAUGGAGCUGAAAUCAGUCGAAGAUACCAGCUGGCUGCAACUGUUUAUUAAAAACACAGCACUGUGCAAACACGAAAGUGGACGUAUACGGUGUGACGCCUGCCCGGUGCCGGAAGGUUAAUUGAUGGGGUUAGCGGUAACGCGAAGCUCUUGAUCGAAGCCCCGGUAAACGGCGGCCGUAACUAUAACGGUCCUAAGGUAGCGAAAUUCCUUGUCGGGUAAGUUCCGACCUGCACGAAUGGCGUAAUGAUGGCCAGGCUGUCUCCACCCGAGACUCAGUGAAAUUGAACUCGCUGUGAAGAUGCAGUGUACCCGCGGCAAGACGGAAAGACCCCGUGAACCUUUACUAUAGCUUGACACUGAACAUUGAGCCUUGAUGUGUAGGAUAGGUGGGAGGCUUUGAAGUGUGGACGCCAGUCUGCAUGGAGCCGACCUUGAAAUACCACCCUUUAAUGUUUGAUGUUCUAACGUUGGCCCCUGAUCGGGGUUGCGGACAGUGUCUGGUGGGUAGUUUGACUGGGGCGGUCUCCUCCUAAAGAGUAACGGAGGAGCACGAAGGUUGGCUAAUCCUGGUCGGACAUCAGGAGGUUAGUGCAAUGGCAUAAGCCAGCUUGACUGCGAGCGUGACGGCGCGAGCAGGUGCGAAAGCAGGUCAUAGUGAUCCGGUGGUUCUGAAUGGAAGGGCCAUCGCUCAACGGAUAAAAGGUACUCCGGGGAUAACAGGCUGAUACCGCCCAAGAGUUCAUAUCGACGGCGGUGUUUGGCACCUCGAUGUCGGCUCAUCACAUCCUGGGGCUGAAGUAGGUCCCAAGGGUAUGGCUGUUCGCCAUUUAAAGUGGUACGCGAGCUGGGUUUAGAACGUCGUGAGACAGUUCGGUCCCUAUCUGCCGUGGGCGCUGGAGAACUGAGGGGGGCUGCUCCUAGUACGAGAGGACCGGAGUGGACGCAUCACUGGUGUUCGGGUUGUCAUGCCAAUGGCACUGCCCGGUAGCUAAAUGCGGAAGAGAUAAGUGCUGAAAGCAUCUAAGCACGAAACUUGCCCCGAGAUGAGUUCUCCCUGACUCCUUGA
rnacentral:rRNA from 1 species